UACGUAGGGUGCAAGCGUUAAUCGGAAUUACUGGGCGUAAAGCGUGCGCAGGCGGUGAUGUAAGACAGGUGUGAAAUCCCCGGGCUUAACCUGGGAACUGCAUUUGUGACUGCAUCGCUGGAGUGCGGCAGAGGGGGAUGGAAUUCCGCGUGUAGCAGUGAAAUGCGUAGAGAAGCGGAGGAACACCGAUGGCGAAGGCAGCCCCCUGGGCCAACACUGACGCUCAGGCACGAAAGCGUGGGGAGCAAACAGG
rnacentral:rRNA from 1 species